CCCUUAGAUGUUCUGGGCUGCACGCGCGCUACACUGACGCACGCAACAGGUGCCUGCUCCGAGAGGACUGGGUAAUCAUUUGAGUGUGCGUCGUGAUGGGGAUAGAAUAUUGUAAUUAUUACUCUUCAACGAGGAAUUCCUAGUAAGCGCCAGUCAGCAGCUUGCGCUGAUUACGUCCCUGCCCUUUGUACACACCGCCCGUCGCUCCUACCGAUGGGUGAUCCGGUGAAUGAUUCGGACUUCAGCGGCUCCCCCGGGGUGCGCCGGAGAAAGUUUUGUGAACCUUAUCACUUGGAGGAAGGAGAAGUCGUAACA
rnacentral:rRNA from 1 species